rnacentral:rRNA from 1 species
GAUGAACGCUGGCGGCGUGCCUAAUACAUGCAAGUCGAGCGAACAGACGAGGAGCUUGCUCCUCUGACGUUAGCGGCGGACGGGUGAGUAACACGUGGAUAACCUACCUAUAAGACUGGGAUAACUUCGGGAAACCGGAGCUAAUACCGGAUAAUAUAUUGAACCGCAUGGGUCAAUAGUGAAAGACGGUUGUGCUGGCACGUAUAGAUGGAUACGCGCCGCAUUAGCGAGUUGGGAAGGUAACGGCUUACCAAGGCAACGAGGCGUAUCCGACGUGAGAGGGGGAUCGGCGACACGAGAACUGAAACAGGGUCCAGGGACCUGAGAGACGGACCAGAAUGGAAUGUUCCGCAGUAGGCGGGAACCUGGCGGAGCGGGGCCGCGUGAGUUAUGAAGGUGUUCGGAGCGUAAAACUCGGUUACUAGGUAUGAACCAAUGUGUAAGUAAAUAUAGCGGUCUUGACGGUACCUAAUCAGAAAGCCACGGCUAACUACGUG